ACGGCAGCACGGAGCUUGCUCUGGUGGCGAGUGGCGAACGGGUGAGUAAUAUAUCGGAACGUACCCUGGAGUGGGGGAUAACGUAGCGAAAGUUACGCUAAUACCGCAUACGAUCUAAGGAUGAAAGUGGGGGAUCGCAAGACCUCAUGCUCGUGGAGCGGCCGAUAUCUGAUUAGCUAGUUGGUGGGGUAAAGGCCUACCAAGGCAUCGAUCAGUAGCUGGUCUGAGAGGACGACCAGCCACACUGGAACUGAGACACGGUCCAGACUCCUACGGGAGGCAGCAGUGGGGAAUUUUGGACAAUGGGCGAAAGCCUGAUCCAGCAAUGCCGCGUGAGUGAAGAAGGCCUUCGGGUUGUAAAGCUCUUUUGUCAGGGAAGAAACGGUGGGCUCUAAUACAGCCUGCUAAUGACGGUACCUGAAGAAUAAGCACCGGCUAACUACGUGCCAGCAGCCGCGGUAAU
rnacentral:rRNA from 1 species